GGUCUUAUAGUGUAGUGGUUAUCACUCAGGAUUUUGAGGAUUCUUGCGGAUUAGUGCAAGAUUAAUUUCCUGGAACCCAGGUUCGAACCCUGGUAAGACCU